GACGAACGCUGGCGGCGUGCUUAACACAUGCAAGUCGAGCGGAGCGGCGAACGGGUGAGUAACGCGUGAGUAACUGCCCCCCUCCCUGGGAUAACAGUUGGAAACGGCUGCUAAUACCGGAUAGUGGGGGCUGACUCGCGUCCUAUCAGUUUGUUGGUGGGGUAGUGGCCUAACAAGGCGACGACGGGUAGCCGGCCUGAGAGGGCGACCGGCCCACAUGUGCUGAGAUACGGCCCAAGCUCCUACGGGGGGCAGCAGUGGGGAAUAUUGCGCAAUGGGGGAAACCCUGAUGCAGCAACGCCGCGUGCGGGAUGACGGCCUUCGAGUUGUAAACCGCUUGCAGCCAUGACGCGUUAGUGGCAGAAGAAGCACCGGCUAACUACGUGCCAGCAGCCGCGGUAAUAC
rnacentral:rRNA from 1 species